AACUUGUAACAAUGUAUCUCUUGGUUCUGGCAUCGAUUAAGAACGCAGCGAAAUGCGAUAAGUAAUGUGAAUUGCAGAAUUCAGUGAAUCAUCGAAUCUUUGAACGCACAUUGCGCCCGCUGGUAUUCCGGCGGGCAUGCCUGUUCGAGCGUCAUUAUGACCAAUCAAGCUCUGCUUGGCCUUGGGGCCCGCUGUACCGGCGACCCUUAAAAUCAGUGGCGGUGCCGUCUGGCUCUAAGCGUAGUAAUACUUCUCGCUACAGGGUCCAGCCGUCCACCCGCCAGAACCCCCAACUUUCUUAGGUUGACCUCGGAUCAGGUAGGGAUACCCGCUGAACUUAAGCAUAUCAAUAAGCGGAGGC
rnacentral:misc_RNA from 1 species